ensembl:snoRNA SNORA72 Small nucleolar RNA SNORA72
CUGCGAACUAUUCUCGCCUGUUCAACCUUUCCGUGGUCAGAUCGGGGCUAGUCGUUCGCUAGAGUAACACCAACACGAGAGCUAGCAGACCUGACUUCCCUGUCCCGUCUGUUCUCACCCUGCACCCGUUGGUUACAAUC